GGUAAAAUGGCUGAGAUUAAGGUGAUAGUUUGUAAAAUUAUUAAGAGGAUAUUAUCCUUUUUACCA
rnacentral:tRNA from 1 species